rnacentral:rRNA from 1 species
GAUGAACGCUGGCGGCGUGCCUAAUACAUGCAAGUCGAACGCACAGACGAGGAGCUUGCUCCUCUGACGUUAGCGGCGGACGGGUGUGUAACACGUGGAUAACCUACCUAUACGACUGAGAUAACUUCGGGACACCGGAGAUAAUACCGGAUAAUCUAUUGAACCACAUGGUUCAAUAAUGAAAGACAGUUUUGCUGUUACUUAUAGAACCAUCCGCGCCGCAUCAGCUAGUUGGGAUGGUAACGGCUUACCACGGCGACGAUGCGUAGCCGACCUGAGAGGGUGAUCGGCCACACGGGAACUGAGACACGGUCCAGACUCCUACGGGAGGAGGCAGUAGGGAAUCUUCCGCAAUGGGCGAAAGCCUGACGGAGCAACGCCGCUGGAGUGAGGAAGGUCUCCGGAUCGUAAAACUCUGUUAUAAGGGAAGAACAAAUGUGUAAGUAACUAUGCACGUCUUGACGGUACCUAAUCAGAAAGCCACGGCUAACUACGUG